rnacentral:pre_miRNA from 1 species
UUUAUACUCCCUCCGUCCAGAAAUACUUGUCAUUGAAAUGGAUGUAUCUAGAUGUAUUUUAGUUCUAGAUACAUCCAUUUUCAUCCAUUUUGAUGACAAGUAAUUCCGGACGGAGGGAGUAUCAU